rnacentral:lncRNA from 1 species
CAUUUUAUUAAUGCUUUUACGAGUUAGAAGAGUUGGGAUAAUUUGCCAUCUGGAGUUUCUCUGCCUUGCUGAUCUGAGCUCAGACCUGCCAAUUUACCAGAGAUAAUUGAUAACACCCUGUAACAGCUGAGAGGAAAAUGGAAGAAACGGAGAUACUUUUAGUGAAGCAGAAUAAACCACUGAACAGCGUUGGCUGAAAAACAUA